GAGACAACCAGUGGGUCUCCCAGUGCUACGCAGAUUAGCUGAAGCAUGGCAAGGAAUUGGAGUCAGGUAUCACAAACCAGAGGGUCAUCACUUAAGGUUGAAAACGCCUGUCACUCAGGAAAAGAAGGCGACCUGCUCCCUCUAUAGGCUUUCCUGGUUGUUGCUAUCAUGAACCGACCAUCCAGGCGAUCAGAGCUGCAUGCAGGCUUUGAAGGCUGGCAAAAACUCUGAAUGGAAGAGAUACCAUCUGAGCCAGCAGUUCCGUGAAGCCAGGCACGCUUCCUCGCCAGUGCCUGCUAUCCCGACGGCUUUUCUCUCCUCCCCGUCCCAGGGCCCUGCCUCCUCAGCUGCACCAGCACUGCGGUUUCUGGCAUCGUUCUGCAGGCCUUUCUGGCAGCUCAAGCUCCAUUCUUGGGGGGAAAGGACAGAAAACACUCCUUCCAGGACUGGUUCAACACAGGAUUAGGAUCCGCUUGCACACUGCCCAGAUGCAAUCCCACAUAUAUCUAUAGGCAGGCACAGGUCUGCUUGCGAGACCUCAGAGCACAGCCUUUGCAUUGUGCACCUGGCGGAUUCACUCUGGUUCCCACACUCAACCAAGUCUACUGCUGUGGCCUCACACACCUCUCUG